rnacentral:rRNA from 1 species
UACGUAGGACACAAGCGUUAUCCGGAGUUACUGGGCGUAAAGGGCGUGUAGGCGGAUCUGUAAGUCUGCUCUGAAAGCUCCUGGCUAAACUGGGAGAGGCGAGCGGAGACUGUCGGUCUAGAGUGAGGAAGAGGAAAGUGGAAUUCCGCGUGUAGUGGUGAAAUGCGUAGAGAUGCGGAGGAACACCAGUGGCGAAAGCGGCUUUCUGGACUGCAACUGACACUGAGGAACGAAAGCCAGGGGAGCAAACGGG